UAGAGUUUGAUCCUGGCUCAGGAUGAACGCUGGCGGCGUGCCUAAUACAUGCAAGUCGAGCGAACAGAUAAGGAGCUUGCUCCUUUGACGUUAGCGGCGGACGGGUGAGUAACACGUGGAUAACCUACCUAUAAGACUGGGAUAACUUCGGGAAACCGGAGCUAAUACCGGAUAACAUAUUGAACCGCAUGGUUCAAUAGUGAAAGGCGGCUUUGCUGUCACUUAUAGAUGGAUCCGCGCCGUAUUAGCUAGUUGGUAAGGUAACGGCUUACCAAGGCAACGAUACGUAGCCGACCUGAGAGGGUGAUCGGCCACACUGGAACUGAGACACGGUCCAGACUCCUACGGGAGGCAGCAGUAGGGAAUCUUCCGCAAUGGGCGAAAGCCUGACGGAGCAACGCCGCGUGAGUGAUGAAGGUCUUCGGAUCGUAAAACUCUGUUAUCAGGGAAGAACAAAUGUGUAAGUAACUGU
rnacentral:rRNA from 1 species